GGCCGCGGUUUUCCUCGCUCUCUCACGCUUCCUUGCCUUUGCUCAGGCUGCUUUCUUGUCUGCUGCCUUUCACAUUGUUGUUGUUUAGUUGCUAAGUUGUGUGGGACUCUUUGUGACCCCCAUGGUCUGUAGCCGGCCAGGCCCCUCUGUCCAUGGGAUUUCCCAGGCGAAGAAUACUGGAGUGGGUUGCAUUCCCUUCUCCAGGGGUUCUUGUUGGACCAGGGAUCAAACCCGUGUCUCCUGUGCUGGCAGGGGGAUUCUUUACCACCUGGGAUACCUGCACCUGAUGAGCAAGGAGUCUUCCCUCCGGACCUGCCUUGGGGUCGCAGCCUCUGUGACGCCUGUGAGGGCAGCAGAUUCCUCCCUCCUCUGCCCUCAUCACUCAUCCGUCACAUGAUCCCCUCUAGUCUGGGAUCUGCAUCAACCACCAAGGGACUUAGACUUGGCAGCACCGAGUCCUCAUCUCAAAUACUUGGGGGGGUCACAUAGACCUUCAGACCUAUUCUUGGUUCCACUUGAAACGGAGGCUUGUUAUCCCAGGCCUGCUGAAGGGAUUAAAAAAGCUAAAAUCUGCAAAGAACAGAGUGAGUGCCUGAUCACCCACACAGACUGCCCUGCCAUGCCAUGGCUUUGCCCUCCCAGAGUCCCUGCCUCUUCUGAGUUCCCAAAUCCAGUGGACGUUCCUCUUGCUCUUCCUCCCCUCCUCUCAGUCCCCUCCCGAGACCUCCUGGCCUUCUGCUCAGGACUCCAUCCUCAGUCCCCUUCUUCCCUUAUUUCCUCCAUGAGCUCAUCCAUUCCCAGACCUCCAUCUGCCCAACCUGGAUCUGUCUCCUGGGUCCUCUGGAGACCUCCACCUGGACAUCACUCAGCACCUCAAACCCAGGUCCGUGGGAAUGACAGAGGAUGCUGAGGAAGAAGCAAUGAGACAGACGGGGCCAUGGGGAGACCUUGGCCACAGUCCAGCGAGAGGCGGUGGCCAGGUGGGUCUGGGCGCAGGGGAGUCAUGGUCCUGGUGUAGGGAUAACACCGGGGGUCCUGGGGUCACGAGGGCCUGGCUCCCAGUCCCCAUCGUGAGCCUCUCUGGAGCUCAGCUCCCACAGCUGUAAUUUGGGGGUGCUAUGAGGCCUCCCUGGCAGGUUGGUCAGGAGGGUUGGAUGAUGGAAGGCGUGCGACUGCUCCUGAAGGUGAACUGUUGUCCCUAGUGGGAGGAGGAGUGGCUUGAAUGGGGCUCGGGCUCCUGAGUCACAGGUGGCCUCUGCGAGGUCAGAGGCGCACACCAUGGCUCACUU
rnacentral:lncRNA from 1 species